rnacentral:lncRNA from 1 species
CCAACCCAGUGCCUCACGCAUGCUAGGCAAGCACUCUACCACUGAGCCACAACUCCAGUCCCCGAUUCUGACUUUUGAAAACGUAUCUAAACCUAAGAAUUUCAGAUAAAGAGAUGUAGCUUCUGCAGUACACAUAGAUUCAGAGUUCCCUGGUCGGGAAUUAUUCUUUUAUUAUUAUUAAUAUACAAGGAGUAUAGAAGUUACUCUGUACCAGGAAGAAGAUGAAGACCAAGAGCAUAAGAGAUUACAUACAGAGAUUAUAACACCUGCUGUCCAGGAGAGAAGGACAGCAGUCUUAAGCCAAAGCAUAUAAUAAUGAGCCACAAGUGGCAUUCAUUUAUUCAUUCAUUCACAAAUAUUUAUGGCAGUAAACAAAAUGAAGACCCACAAUCACAGAACUUAUAUUACUCAAUAUAUAAUAUAAUGUUAGGUCAGUACUAUGAAAAAAGAGGUAAACUAGGAUACAGAGAUAGGGAGGGGAUAACUACUGAGAAAAAUGAGAAAGGGAGAAAUUCCUUUGGUUCAUGUGGUUAAACAUAACCUCUCAGAGGAGGUGACCUUUGAUCAGAGUUGAAUCAAGUUGGGAACACACUGUAAAUACCAGGGAAAUGUUUUGUUUUGUUUUGUUUUUCACUCACAGAAAAUGAGAAUGGGAGUUUGGAGGAUCUGCAAGGAGGCCAAGUGUGUAGGGUAAAAAAAUGGGAGGAGUGGUAGGAAAUGGAGUUUUAGGAGUAGCCAUGGGCCAAGUCCUAUAGGAAGUCUGUGAGGUAGAGAGUGGCACUGGAAGGAGGGCAUGGUCCAAGGACUUCUCCUUGUGAAGGGUGCUAGAAAAGACUUCAUAGUCUUAUCCAAUGAAUAGGGGCUAUCAGGUGGGACAGGAGGGAAGGGCUUCCCAAGCAGAGGAUGCCGGGUAAGCAAAGCUCCGAAGGAAGAAACAGCCUGGCUUCUUCAAGAAACUGGGACUGGUACGCUUUGGCUGGAACCUUGUUCAUGAGGGAGAAAGCAGAUUAUGGGAGAGAGGAA